UAGAGGUUUGAAUCUGGCUCAGGACGAACGCUGGCGGCGUGCCUAAUACAUGCAAGUCGAACGCUUCUUUUUUCCCGAGAGCUUGCUCCCAAGUGAAAAGAAGAGUGGCGAACGGGUGAGUAACACGUGGGUAACCUACCCAUCAGAAGGGGGAUAACACUUGGAAACAGGUGCUAAUACCGCAUAACAAUUUAAACCGCAUGGCAUAAAAAGUGAAAGGCGCUUUCGGGUGUCGCUGAUGGAUGGACCCGCGGUGCAUUAGCUAGUUGGUGAGGUAACGGCUCACCAAGGCCACGAUGCAUAGCCGACCUGAGAGGGUGAUCGGCCACACUGGGACUGAGACACGGCCCAAACUCCUACGGGAGGCAGCAGUAGGGAAUCUUCGGCAAUGGACGAAAGUCUGACCGAGCAACGCCGCGUGAGUGAAGAAGGUUUUCGGAUCGUAAAACUCUGUUGUUAGAGAAGAACAAGGACGAUAGUAACUGUUCGUCCCCUGACGGUAUCUAACCAGAAAGCCACGGCUAACUACGUGCCAGCAGCCGCGGUAAUACGUAGGUGGCAAGCGUUGUCCGGAUUUAUUGGGCGUAAAGCGAGCGCAGGCGGUUUCUUAAGUCUGAUGUGAAAGCCCCCGGCUCAACCGGGGAGGGUCAUUGGAAACUGGGAGACUUGAGUGCAGAAGAGGAGAGUGGAAUUCCAUGUGUAGCGGUGAAAUGCGUAGAUAUAUGGAGGAACACCAGUGGCGAAGGCGGCUCUCUGGUCUGUAACUGACGCUGAGGCUCGAAAGCGUGGGGAGCAAACAGGAUUAGAUACCCUGGUAGUCCACGCCGUAAACGAUGAGUGCUAAGUGUUGGAGGGUUUCCGCCCUUCAGUGCUGCAGCAAACGCAUUAAGCACUCCCCGCCC
rnacentral:rRNA from 1 species